rfam:Schistosoma mansoni, Puerto Rico, WGS project CABG01000000 data, contig: 0124
AAAAAGGCUCCAUUUGGAGCCAUCAGUUAGAAAAAUGGAUAUAUUC